UACGUAGGUGGCGAGCGUUGUCCGGAUUUACUGGGCGUAAAGAGCGCGCAGGCGGUCGUUCAAGUCGCGUGUGAAAGCCCCCGGCUCAACUGGGGAGGGUCACGCGAUACUGAUCGACUCGAAGGCAGGAGAGGGAAGUGGAAUUCCCGGUGUGGUGGUGAAAUGCGUAGAUAUCGGGAGGAACACCAGUGGCGAAGGCGACUUCCUGGCCUGUUCUUGACGCUGAGGCGCGAAAGCUAGGGUAGCAAACGGG
rnacentral:rRNA from 1 species